rnacentral:rRNA from 1 species
UACAGAGGUCCCGAGCGUUGUUCGGAUUCACUGGGCGUAAAGGGCGCGUAGGUGGCUGGUCAAGUUUGAUGUGAAAGCUCAGGGCUUAACCCUGAAAUGGCAUUGAAUACUGUCGAGCUGGAGGUUUGGAGGGGGGACUGGAAUUCUUGGUGUAGCAGUGAAAUGCGUAGAUAUCAAGAGGAACACCAGUGGCGAAGGCGAGUCCCUGGACAACACCUGACACUGAGGCACGAAAGCUAGGGGAGCAAACAGG